UUUUGGCAUGAGGUCCUCGAUAGGGAUAGAAGCGCAUCUCGUCGUUUCACAAGAAUGGAUAUCAUUACAAGUACAUGUACUGAAAAGAAGAGAUAUAUGGAAUUGGCUUACACUCGCCAGAGGCUACAUCAGAGUCACAUCAGUACAAUACAUAAACAUCAUGUAGAAGAAUAGGGUCCACCUACAGACAAAAAAACAAUAAAAGAAUGACGUCCAUCCUUGCUAUCCGAGGCUGCGAGCCUGGAACCCAUCCUAGAUCGAUGAAUAAGAAGAAGAAACUCCAAAAGAACAAUCAUCGUGCUCACAUCAUAAUAUCACCUUACAUGUACCUGCAACUGGUGUUGUAGUAAUCUCUGAGCCACAGAGGGCUCAGCAAUCUCAUUUCCAAAGGUAUCAAGACUAGCAAAGCUUAAUGGGUGAGGUAUGGUUAAGUGGUGAGGCUGCAGCAAGCGACUAAGCUUUUAUUUGGUCGCUAACUUGCAAGUACAAGAAUCAAGAGGGGGAUGAUCUACGCAACAGCGGACGUGAACUAAUAUUGAUCAAAUGAAUGAUCCUGAACACCUACUUACGUCAGACAUAACCCCACCGUGUCCUGGAUCUGAGAAAGAGCUCACGAAAGAGACAGUCACGGUUACAAACUCAAUUGGCAUAUUUUCAUUAAGCUUACUUCGAGUAAUCUAGAACCCAAAGUUAAAGAAAGUUUCCACAUUGCCACAUAACCGCGGGCAUGACUUUCCGAAAGGUUUAACCCUGCAGGGGUGCUCCAACUAAUCCAUCACAAAUUACCACAAGCCGCAUAGAUAUCCUCGAUCACGAGGCUCGCGAUCUCGUCGGACUCCUUAGUGGAAAACCUCAACUCUGAUAUAACCCAAAGCAUCACCGAAAUCCCGAUGCACAAGACAUUCGUCAAAGGUAAAACUAAUCCAGCAGGACCACCCGGUGUGUCGACGAACCCGAUAGGAGCCACGUAUCUCGUUCUCAGGACACAACCGUCUAUGCAUAGUGGACGGUAGCCAAACGCUCGAGUUGCCCCGAGGUGGCACCGCCGAGUGCUAGGUGGGUGGACCAACACUCGUGAGGAGCACUGCCCCGGGGUUGAUUUAUUACUCCGCGGGUGUUGGCGGGUCCCUAUGCAUUUUAUUAGUUAUUAGGAAAAUGUAGUACCAAAGUUGGGCCUUAGCAGACCAGUUUUAAUCUAAGACUAAUUAUCAAGGGGGUCCCCAUAACAACCCCGAUCGUGUUAGGAGCGCUCAAUUAUGGAAUAUAACACCGGUAGCCAAAACUAAGGCGACAAAGGUGGAACAAAACACCAGGCUAUAAAGGCCGAGCCUUCCACCUUUUACCAAGUAUUUAGGUGCAUUAAAUUAAUAGAAUUUAAUAGGAUGAUAUAACAAGGAACCCAUGUGGUCACAUGGAAGCAACUGCACCUGCAACUAGCAAUGCUAACACAUGGUUAAGCAAGCGGUGACAGAACCAAACAGUGGUUUGCUAGGUUGUGAGCAAGUUGAAGGUUUUCAUGGCAAUGUUGAGAGGCUGAUAUUUAAUAGGUGGUAGGCAGCGGGACAUAACGAUAGAAAUGGAACACUACCAUGGCAAUGAUAGUAAUGGUAUCUAGGUAAAUGAUCAUCUUGACUGAGAUCCUGCUUAGAAGAAGAAUGACUUCGUGAAGCAGACGAACCGAUGUAGUCGAACGGGUCCACACAUUCCGAUAUGCUUGCGGAACUCUAUCGAGAUGAAGCAACCCGGAAAAAAGAAUUAACACACGAUAUUCACCACACGAUGCACAACACAUAUGAUGCAUGAACGGUAUCAAUUAUGCACGGUAUGACAUGGCAACUCACACAAUCAAACUUACACAUUAAAUGAAGUUCAAUAUGCAACGAGUUGCAUAUCGACAAAACUCCACAAAUAAUUAUUUAGUUCACUCCCCUUUAUUUACAUGGCAAGAGGUGGAGCAGAAAUUAAACUACAUAUCUAGGCAUUUUAAAUGAGGUCGGAAACGACAUAGAUCAUCUCCGAAAUGACCCGACGCGUUAAAUUAGAGUUCUGUACGGAUCUGAACUAACAUAUUUUAAUAUUUGUUAAACAGAAAAAAAGAUAGGUUCACGUGAUUCUACGUGUUGUCCCAAUCAGUUUACACAUAGAGACCAUUGCAAAAUGGAGCUACAGUUCAAAAGAUAUGACAACCGCAAGAUAUGAUGGCAUGAAUGCAAUAUGUAUGCAAUGACAGUCACAAGCAUCCCAAAACAUACAGACAUCAAGAUUAUAUGAACCCACACGAGAUUCUAAACAAGUUUCAUACAGGACACGGUCAAAACGGAGCAACGGUUCAACAAAUACAAGCUAAACAAGAAAUAGCUACAAUCUGCCCAAAACAGCAACAUGGCAUUUUCUACACCCUAAAACAACAAGCUACAUAAUUCUAAAAUGUUCAAACAAGACAUGAGGCGGUAGAGGGAAAGAUGCACUACCACAUACUGCUAAUAACAUCUAGCAUGGCAGCAUGGAUCCCUAGGAAAAGAUCUUACAAAAUGGCAUGUCACACACAGUUUCAGAUUUAGUGAAAAUAACAUUGUUGAUAGUGCAAUUUUCAAUCUGAAGGCAUAUUGACAGCAGAAGAACUAUAUGCUACAGGGCUCCGAAUGACAUGAAAAUUUUACAGCAUACUAGAGAAUCUAAAGGAAUACAAUUAACUCCAUUGCAUCAACCCCAAAGGAGUUGUAGAUCACUAGGAAAACCCAUGACAAGACAGCAACAAAAUAUAACAGAUCUCAGACUUAGACAUAUUUUAGCAUCUCCAAAUCAACACUAUUUUCUAGCAUGUAGACAACAAGAAAACAACGCCUAAACAUAUAUUUUUAUUGCAACCAAAAUUACCAGUAGCUAACAUACAUAUCCAAGGGCAUAUCUCUAGUUCACAACUCAUGCAUAUAACGCACUGAAUAAUCCCACAAAAUAGACAAGAGGGCAACAUGGGAAAAUAUCAUGCACACUAAAUUACUUGAAAGACAAAACUAAAUGCAUAGUUAAAUCCUAUGGAUUUUUCUACCCCUAAAACAUAUAUAAUAUGUGGGGUUGCAAAAUAAAACUAGCGCCUCGAAUAUGUUAGGAAAGCAACUUAUUUGUAUUGAAUGCCCAAGGGGCAUAUAUAUAUAUAUUACACAUGACUUGAGGUGCAAGGAAAGUAAACAUAGACUAAUAAGGACUCCUAGACUAAUACUAAUAGACUAAUAAGGACUCCUAGACUAAUACUAAUACUUCCUAACACCCCCCCUCAAAUGCAAAGCGUGUGCAAUAGCAUUGCAUUUGAAGAAGUGUAAUACUAAAAAAAUGAUAAUCCAAAUCCGCGUCUUGAGAGUGUCGUCGUAGCAUGAAGAGUCUUCAAAACUUGUUGAGUCGUCGAAAGAGAUAACAAAGAGAUGGCACAUCAGAGGUAGACACCGCAUCACUUGAAGAUACAAGAUAAGUAUCAAGAGAAGAUGGGUUGUCAAAAGAAGAUGGCACAUCAAAGGAAGACAGCGCAUCACUUGAAGAUACAACAUAAGUAUCAAGAGAAUAUGGGUUGUCAAAAGAAGAUGGCACAUCAAGAGAAUAAAGCAUUGUGCAGAAAAUCAUAGUCCACGACAACCGACGGCAAAAGAAGCUCGGCGGUUAAGGCACGAUGAACAUACAUUGACAAUGCAAAAGAAGUCCAGAAAAUCUUAUAGAAAACAACAAGGGAAAAUAGGCCACAAAAGUUGUAUAGAAAGGAUCAGGACCAGAGAAAGGCUGGCGGACUAAGUUAUGGUGCACUCGCAUGGCAUGAGAAAAACACAAAAUAUCAACGGAUUUGGUGGACGCAGCGGAAAAUAAAAUAAAAACUAGAAAGCACAUAGUAGACUAGAUGCAAUGGCGGCAGAAGGGCACAAACACCAAAGAAAAGUGCAUGUGCGAGACGAACUCGACAAUACACCGUCAAGAUCGAAGGAACCGAGGCAUCUGGCACCACGUAGCAGCAAGUAGACGUAGCAGCAGGUAGUAGCACGCCAGCAACACGUAGCAGCACACCGGCACCAUGUAGCACAUGUUUCUUUUUUUUCUUUCUUUUGUUGAAUCAAUCUAGUCAACACAACUUUGACCGGAUGGCUACAACCACGUCCCAGCAAGCAGGCUAGGAGUCAUGCGUUAUGCCCCUGUUGGCUGAAGGCAGCAGUCACGUCUUGCGCGUCUUGGCAGAAGGCAACCGUCCAGCGGUACGUCUUGGCGGUGGCCCGAUCUUGUCCUGAUCCUGAGCAACAUGCAGGAAAUCAUCAGACCAAGCCGACGACGGCCUACCAGUAGCAACUAGGCAAGUAGCUUUGCAUGGGCGACAGCUGGAUCCCACGAACAAGCCUGCGUCGAUCUGGAGUUGCGGCGGCAGGGAAGGAGCCUGCCACAGUAAGAUCCACAAGAUCCGUCGGGGUCAGGGCAGAGGUUGAUCUCCAGCUGAGGUAGAUGAGAUCCGGCCUGACAAGCUGAACCAGCGCGGAUUGGGGGCAGUGACUUGUGAGACGGGAGCCGACGAGAUACUGCCUCACGAACUCCAGCAGCGGACGUCCAGCCGGCGGCCAGCAGCGGACGUGCAGCUGGCGGCCUGAGUCACGGGAGACGGGGGCGGAACGGGUCGCGGAAGACGGGGGGCAGGACGGGGCCGCCCCUGCUCAGAUCGAGCAGUGGAAUGAGCCGCCCCUGCUGCGACCGAGAGGAGAUCGAGCAGGACGUGGCGGCGGCGGAAGAUUGGUUCUGCACAAGUUGAAUCGAUCUGAGCAACGACCUAGAGCAGCAGCUCGGCAAGAGGCACGCACUGAGGGAGCACGACGGGGAGGACUGCGACGGGAGAGCAGCAAGAUCUGACCAUGCAAGAAAAGCAGCGGUAACGCGCAAGAUUGGAUCGGGAGGGUGAGUUGCAGCGCCCCAAAAAAAUAACCUAAGCGCUAAUACCAUGUUAGGAAAGCAAUUUAUCCGUAUUGAAGGCCCAAGGGGCAUAUAUAUAUUACACAUGACUUGAGGUGCAAGGAAAGUAAACAUAGACUAAUACUAAUAGACUAAUAAGGAUUCCUAGACUAAUACUAAUACUUCCUAACAAAAUAAAUGCGGGAAUAUGACCUAAACAUGACAUAGCAAAUUAAUGAUGCCACCUACACGCAAAAAUGCAAGCAGCUACUCUAAAAUACAUGACAAAGGGCUACAAACAACAUGAACAUUUUAUCUAUGGGAUUUGAACAAUCCGGACGCACGUAAAAAUAAUUACGGAAUAGUUAACCUAUUAGGACAGCACACGAAUCUAGGCAAAUGGUGGGUCAAACCAUUCCAAACAUGCAUGCAAGUUGCAAAAUAAUAUUCUGCGCGAAAAACUACACAAGUUACAUGUUUAAAUCACUCCUAUCCGAUGCACGGUUAAUAAUCUACGGGCAUUUAAAAACAAUCCUUUUCUGAAACUACUAAAUUCGCAGGAAUUAAGUAAAACCCUAUGGCCCGAAUCUACAACAUAUGGGCCUACACAGGGGUGGGCGCUGGAUAACUAAACUGUGCCUUGGGCGAAAAUUAGAGGGGCUCGGGUUGCUGCUCACCUUGGGCUUGGGGCGGCUGGGCCUCAUGUGGAGGUGGGCCUGGAGGAAGCCGGCUAGAGGAUGCUGGAGCUGGGCCGGUGAAGAGUGCUAGGCCCACGGGCGACUAGCCUUAGCUGGCGCUACGGGAGGCGAGGCUGAGCGCGUGCUCCUCCUCGAUCCCGACUGGAUCGAGGCAGGCACGGGGGCGACGGCUGCUCCGGCAAGAUCGGGGCGACGGGGCCAAGGGCUCUAGCGAGGGAGGCCGAGGGGCGGCGUGGCUGUCGAUGGAGGACGGUGGUGGCUGGAGGUGAGGCGAGCACAGGCGGCGGCGCGAUCCGGUCAAGGGGAGGCAGCGUGGGUUGCUGGUGGCGGUGCGAUCCUACAGGGGCUGGUCGGCGCGGCGGCUCUACUCCGGCGAGGCCGGCCGAGACGCAGGGACUUGCGGGAUGCAGCGCGGCGAGGUGCAAGCAGCGUGAGGCGCUCGGGGGCGAGGGAGCCGCUGCGCGGUGGCGGUUGCCACGGGCUCGUGCGGGCUAGCGGCGGCGCCAGAAGGGCUUGGCGGGAGAGAGGAGCUGCGGUUGGGGUUGGUGGGGCGCGGAAAACGAGGUAGAGGGCUAGGGUUAGGUGCCUAUGGGUCUAUUUAUAGACAAAACGGGCUAGGGUUUGCUGUUUUUCACCCCAGUUUCAGCCGUGCGAUCGAAAUCGAACGGCCUCGCACGCGGGGACGGUCUAGGUGGUUGUGAAGAGAGGCUUAGGCAAAGAUGAGAGGGAAGAGAAGCGCCCGUGACACGCGUUUUUAAAAUACCAAAAAACGUUAGAUGAAUAACCGAAGACGGUGCCGCUACGGUCGACCGUUCGGGUACCAGACAGACUCCAAUUGCAACGAAAAUUGGCAGGUGGCCUACCUAUAUGAAAAUAAGACCACACGCAAAGUUUCAACCCAAUCAGAGAAUGUUUUAUACACACUUUUAAAAACAAGGUUUAAUGAAUGUCGCGGGCGCGUGCGUGUGUGGUCGGGCUCAAAACGGACAACGACAAGAACGAAGAGAACUGACAACUAAUAACGGAUGCAAGUUUUGAAAAGUGGCGGCAGCGGAGUGCCGAUGCAAUGCGAAUGAUGCGAAUGAUGCGAUGAUGAGUGCGACAAACAAAUCAGCCACACGACAAAAAUGGAAUAAAGGGGGAAUAUUCUCGGGCGUCGGUCCUGGGCUGUCACAUCCCGGCACCCUGCCGGAAGGAGGAUUGACCUCCGGGAGCUUCUCCACCGCCAUGGACGCUUCCCGGACGUGCCGUGAGUAUUCCUCCUUGGACCAUGAGUCCAUGACCAGUAGCUAUGUGAUGUCUUCUCUCCAGUCUUGUGCUUCAAUGGUUAGUCCUUGUGAGCUGCCCUACAUGAUCAAGGCAUCUAUGUAAUUCUCUUGCUAUUGCUAUGCUCAGUUUGUUGGGAUCCGAUGGAUUAUGAGAUUACGUUCAGAUUGUUAUGAGUUAUAUAUUUGUUUAUCCUUUUAUAUUAUGUUCCUUAGUGAUUCAUGCAUGUUCUCCGUUGCUAUUUAUUGCUUUGGCCGAGUAGUAGAUUGUAACUCCAAGAUGGAGCGUUAUGCAUGAUUGUGGGUUCAUGCCCCUCGAUGUCUAGCUUGAGUGAAAGAAACAUGAAACUAGGGGAUGUGCUUGUUGCCACCAGGGAGAAAACACCGGUGCUUGUGACCACGGUUGCAAGGAUUGUUUACCUUACUCAUAGUUCGUUAAUGCAGUUGUUCGUUGCUUUGAGUUUACACUUUGGAUGGGGCUCUCAACUUAAUACCGGCGAGAUGUUCUGGAUAGAUAUCUCAAGGUGGAUGAUUAGUAAGUAGAUGCUGAUGAAUAAACGGUCUACUUGUCUUGGCGUAUUGCCCAUUACUAUUGAACCUCUAACUAUCAAGUAGCAUAAUUAGCAUUGGGUGCGAUCAUAAUUUUGUCAAUUGCCCAACUGUGAUUUGGUUACCGUAGCAUAGUUGUUUAUCAUAUUUUGGGAGAGAGACAUCACUAGUGAACAUCAUGUCGCUCCGGUCCACAUCACCAUCAUUGUUUACAUUUCCAUCAUUUACGGCUUUCAUUUACUUUUCCGUUGGAAUCACUAUUAAUUUCCCGCUUGUGUUUUGAUCCUUUGCAAACUACAAGGCCAGAUAGAUUGACAACCUCUCUGUACUCGUUGGGAGCAAAGUUAUUUGUUGUGUGUGCAGGUCCAUGUCUUCUGCUAGCGCCAGGGUGGAAGACACCUACUUGUUGAGCCUAGGAGUCCUCCUGGUUCGAUAAACCUUACAGUCUCCGUGUAAGGGAAGUAUGUUGGUGACUACAUCUCCACCUUCCACUUGGGGUAACCAACAAGGGGCGAGAAGUAUAUCCAUCAACUCAUCAUCACGCGUGCCUAAGGGGGUGGUCGUGCUCCCCUGGUUUGGGGCCACCUCCCACCUCAUCCAACCUCGUUCUUUGACGUGUAAAUUCACAUAUAUUCUGAAAAUCCUAGAGAGCCUCCCGAAACAAUUUUUCGCCGCCGCAACCUUCUGUUCCGCCAUGUGCCCAUCUCGAGCCCUAUUCCGGUGCCCUGUCGGGGGGGGGGUCAAUCAUGGAUGGCCUCUACAUCAUCCUUGCUACUCCCAUGGUGAUGUGUGGGUAGUUCACCACAUACCUACAUGUCAGUCGUUAGUACCUAGACGUUAUCUCUCUAUCUCUCUAUGUUCUUCGUUCCCAAGAUCACCAUGAUUCCCGCGGUGAUCUAUCUUAUGUAAUCACUCAUGCAUAUAAAUGCUCAUCUGGCAUCCCUAGUGUUCUACUUCACACAACUUGUUUCAUUGAUGAUACACAUAACCCAGUCAGCGCCUCGCGCCCAUUAGUCAGUGGACUCCACGUCCGGCAGGACCGUGCACCCACUGGUCAGCGGACUCCGCGUCCGCACCCGGGAAGGCCCCAUGCCCAUGAGCCGACAGACUAAGUGUUCGCCCCCGGCAGGGCUUAGCGCACAUAAGUUGGUGGACUUCGCACCUGCCCUGGGCAGGGCUCAGCACCCAUUAGUCGGCGGACUCAGCGUCCGUGCCCGACAGGGUUUCGCGUCCAUCAGCAGGUGGAAUUGGCGUAUGUGCGUGACAUCCUCGACACCACUGCUUGCUCCCAUGAUAGCGAAGACCCUUCGCUCGACUCUUCUAGUUGCGUGGAAUCUCGAAGGCUACACACAGUGGAUGCACUGGCGCUCCCACACUGGAAGCAAGCCGCGCCAGCUUCGGCCCAUAGCCAACCAUCAUUGACAAACUCUCGUACCACAACAUCACAAACCCUCCGCCCGACUCUCCAAGUCAUUCGGAGGCUCGGAGGCUAUUGUUAGGGGGGUGACACCCGGGUAGGCUCAAGGAGGUGAUACAUCAUUUGAAAACAUUGGGUUGGCCAAUGCUGCUUAGUCCGGUUGGCUCCCUAAUUGGUGGCUCCCCGGUCCAGCACGUUCCCAGGAUGGCCGGCUCCAAGGUCGUCCAGCUCCCAGGCUGGCCGACUCCUAGGUCGACCGCCCCCCUGGUCGGCUGGCUCCCGGGCUUGCCGGCUCCUAGGCUGGCCAGCUCCCCAGUUGGUUGGGUCCCCGAUCCUGUUGGCUCCCCGUUUGGCUCCUCCAGCUGGCCCCCCUACGUGAAGUCAACCGUAGUGUCCCAUCGGACACGACAUGAAGACACUAUAGCAUGAGUCAUGUGUCACACCACUGUGCUCUAAUAGUGGUGCACUAUUGACCAAUAGUGAUCCACUGUAUCGUGCAUCAUACAUCACUUAGCAUGUCAUCUCCAAAUAGUGUAGUAGGUCAUGUGGGACAUUACUUGUCCCCUGGGCCUCCCUUUAUAAGAGGCAUCAGGGGAGCUCACUUGGGCGAGAAGGCUCGGGCUUGGCCACCAAGGCACUCCCUUGUCCACCAAGGCACCCACGCACACACACAUAAAAGCUCCCUGAAGCUGCCUUUCACGACCAUCUCUCCCAGAUUCUCUCAUUCUCACGCGCAUGAAGCAUGAGGGAAGAUCUCUCACAUCUCCCUCUUCCUCCCCUAAUACAGCUUGAGGAGCAACCCUGUACUGCCAUAUACACACCUCAUAUAUACAUCGGACAUGCAGGAGUAGGGGUAUUACCUCCCCGCGAGGGCCUCGAACCUGGGUAAACCACCGCAUGCUAGUACCCAAUACCGUCUCGGAUCUCCUUGGUAGCCUUUCACUCACCUCGAUAAUCCACACAUGGCAUCUGUUCUGACAAGACAACAACAAUUAGGCUUCGGUGGAGCUGCAUCCGGUAGUCGGUGGCGCUAGUAAAGGACUACGAGAUUGAGAGGGCGUGCGACAACAACGACACUGACUUGCGGCAAGGGGAAGUGAGUUCAUCUAACGUUGGACAUGCAGGAUGCCAGGGGUGGCAACCAUGUUGUGCUGAAGAAGAGUGGGAGUUUGUGUGCAUGCCAAUCGAAUUUGUUUUGGGGGAGGAAGAAGGAACCAACGGCUAUAGGUCGCUAGAUCGGACGCUUAGGUGCUAACCGACUUAAAUUUGGGUUGGCUUGCCAAUGUUUAGCGUUAGCCAUCACAAAAGGACAUCGUCAAUGGAGUCAAUUUUUUUGGUUCCUCUAUAAUUAUAUUAUUACUGCAUGUUGUAAGGGCAUCUCCAAGGGUGAUCCUCAAACCGCCCGCAACCGUCUGGGUUUGGACCGCGAAAGCGAUCUAAUGCGGGCAUGUAUUGGUCCACAGGAUGGUCCAGACGUACUUUCUCCUUAAAUCGAAGACAAUGUGUGGGGGACUUUAUGGGCAUCCAUACAAUACUUGAAACCGUGUCUGCCCGCCCAAGCCCAUCCCAACACCUCCUCCCUCGUUAGCGUGUGUUCCCGUCUGGCGCCAGCGGCCCGCAUUUAUGCCAUUGUAGAGCACGGCGCUUCACAUUAAAGACGACUCCGGACGGACGUGAUCUCUCACUGCAUUUGCUAUUGAAGUGGCGCAUCGGCAAAGGACGCCACCCGUUGCAUGCCUGGAUGAACGUGCCUCCUCGUCACUGUCAAUCACCUCCAUUAAAUCCACGAGUGGGCGGCAUUAAACACAACAUUGAGCAAGAUCCUCCCAUCUGCCACGUAUUUAAAGGAGCCCAGAUGUCGGGCAAGAAUCACACCACUCCGCCGCUCCCCAUCUCCUACGUCCACCAUUUUAGCAACCCUUUCCAUGGCAUCCGACGAGCAGGAAGAGCAGUUCUCUGGCAUAAAAGACGGCUGGGUUGUCCGUCGAGCUCGCCUGAUACGAGCAAGAUAGCUCGUUGCUCCACAUCCCUUGCCUAGCCCGACGGAGCAAGUUGCCGCUCCAAGCCAGCUCACGGAGGAGUGGUGAGUUGCUCCACGGAGGCAUGCAGGGAGCAUGGCAAAGCGGCCAUCGUGGCUGGCAUGGAUGAGGCCAUCUGUCGUGCCAUUCGCCGUCAAUGUUGGCGAAACCACAUCCGGUCGAUGGAGGAAGAAGCUGGCUACGCGGAGCUGGACGAGUCGGUGGCGAGCGCGUCUGCGACGGCCUACAACACCGAGGAGAAGUAGAACACAAGAGACCGCCACUGCUUUGAUCCCAAGAAGGCCACCACAAGCGAGUCACCGACGUCCACAACCGGUGUCUCGUCCUCUAAUGUAGGCCAUCAUCCACCCCACACCGCCAAAACAAGCAGAGAUCCACGCUUCAUGGAAGCGGAUGCAACUCUUCCGCUCCAGCUAAAGCAUCCUCUUUGCCACUCUCACAAGCGGUGUAGCCGGAUAUAGGGAAAGGAUGAGGAAUGUGCCUCCGGGGCUUCCGGCAGUGUGAUAAAGUGGGCUCCCGGACAUUAGAAAGACAGAGGGAUCUGUCGCAGCCAGCUGUAGACUAGUGUAGUGUAUCUGUGUCAUGGGAAUGGAGCGCCGCGUGGCUAGACAUGCACAUAGUUUAACUUCUUUAACUAAAAUGUGUCUAAAAUAUAAAUGUUUUCGUCCGGUUCGUAUGAAAUGUGUCGUGUUUGCUUGAAUUUCGUCUAAUUAAUUAAUAAAUUGUUUGAAAUGUAUAUGAAUGGUGUUGGAUGACGACCAUCUGCAUCCGUUUCCGUGGACUAACCUCUGUCCAUGAAUAGAUGGGGAAGAAAAUUUAGGCUCUAACUUCUAAAAUCAACCAUCUAUUCCAAUCUAAAGGCCCCCUUCAUCUCCUUCAAUUAUGUUAUUACUAGUAAGAUGCCCGUGCUACGCUACGGAAUCACAUAAAAUGAAAUGGAACAACAAAAGUAUAAAUCAAUGUAGUACUGCAUUUUUGUUAAGAUAUGGUUAGGCUUUAGCCACAUAAAAAAAUUAGCAGUUAUAUGCAUGUGCGCAACUAUUUUCAAAUGCAUCAUGCAUUGAAGGUUACAUUUCUCAUUUGCCUAGAAAACACAACAACUUGAUUUCUCAGAUGAAGUUGUCUUGGCAUUACACCAUCAUAAGAUUUCACGUUGUAGGUGAAACUCAGUUUCAGUUACAUCAACGAUUACAAAAGCACCGAACAGAUUUUUAACGACUCAUACACCCAAAUUUAAGCAAAAGUCGAUUAACACAAUCCAAAAGCAGCUCAGUCUAGCUUAUGCAACACAUUCUCCUAUUUUCCAAUUUUGCUUCAUGACUCCAUUCACCAUCUUCUUUUGAUUCAUGGAGAUGCUGGUCCAGACACAUCAUUAUUGAUCCUACACAAAAAUAAUUCUGAUUUUUUAGUAUACCAUAUAAAAAAAUAACUUCAACUACAUUUACAAUUACCUUUGCCUCAGUUUAUGUGCGGCUAUGAUGUUUGGGUGAAAGUGCAUCCUACUAUAGUCCGUAGUAUGCAGGCCACGGUCUAGUUAAUUAAAGACAAAUCAUAAAUCUAUUAGCAAUUUUUUUUGUUGGUACUAUGUGCAUAGAACAAUGCAUGAACUUAACUUACCAAUGCGGUUUGCACGUAACAUUGUUGCCACGACAAUAGCACGCUCCUCGGCCAGUGUUUCCCAUGUACUUAGAUUAUCAGUCACUAACUUGUCCCAUACAACUAACUUGACAAUAUUGUAGCUAUAAAAUCAAGUAAUAUUAGAAGAAAAACAUAAAAUCUUUGAAUUAUUCAAAUAAUUCUAAACCAUAAGAUAGAUAUACGUGUCAUCUAGCAGAAUGAUAUUUCUCACUUGGAUCCUUCGGUUGUAGAAACUGUCCUUGUGUCCCAUAGAACUUACAAACAAAACCAUGCCAAUGACACCUUUGUACAAGUCUGCACGUAUCUCUUUCUGGUGAUUCCUAACCCAGUCUAGUCUAGUGCCCUCGACCUUGAUAUACAUAUCGACUGCAAACUGCUGAAAUAGGCGCUUGCCAUGUAAUAUUGGGUUGAAUAUCGCAGGGCGUGUUUGUAACCUAUAACAGUAGUAGUGUCUAACAGAGACGCACAAUCGAGCACUCAUUCUACUUAAAAGCGAAGAGGAAAAGUUAGGCUAUCACAAGUAUAGAUCUAAGGGAAAACACAAAAUUAUAGAAAAAGACUAACCUGAUUCAUCAUCUUCAUUUUCAUUAGACUGUAAUACCGCAUCCAAGGAUACACCAACCUUUGGGAUCUUUGGAUGCCAACCAAGUUCCCCUCUAGGAAAGAAAAGAGGGUAUGAGAGGGGGUCGUAGCAACCAUAAUAUGGUUGUAUAGCGUACUUGCUGUUGUUGUUCCCAUAUAAGAUAAUGCUGCGAUCAAACUUCCUAAUCAAGUCAUUGCCCUCAACCCACACUGCAGCCACCUCCGAUGACACUCGCACAUUAUACGUCCGUUGGUCCAACCUCUGGUCAGUGUUUAAGGAUAUUCGGUACUCCUCAAGUUUCUCAACCUGUCCAAGACUCCUGAAUGUCUGAGAAUAGGGGUUGUCCCUAAGGAUGUUGACCAACUUUCUAAUGAUGUCCUGGUCGAGUCCUGGGGAGUGCCGAAAGCGAUGUUGUAGACUGGGAUCAUCAUCGUAGAAAUACAAUUGCAGAUGGUCUGGGCCUGAAUCCCUCAACCCAAAUGAAUGGAUAUUGUGGUAAAUCUGGCCAUGCGCACGAAAUGUGUACACGCCUGAUCGCAUAUUUGUGUAGUUGUUGUCAAGAUUGACACCAAGGGUGGUGAAGGAGAAGUGUGAGUUAAAGAACCUAAUGUUAUCACGAAAAUAUCUCGCAUCUGCACUUGAUCAGAGCCUCAUUAGUUCUGGAAUGGGCUCUGGGUUUGCUAGCUUGAUUUUACCAUUCUGACAGCAGAAGGACUUUGUCUCAUACUCGAAUUUCUUGGCGUCACAGUGCUUGCAGUUUGCGACAUGCUUAAGUGUGUGCGUGCUAUUAGGGAUGUUUGAGUAUACUAUCUCAUAUGGAUCAAAUACACUUGAGCCUACGACCGAGGCAUCUUGUGCUUCAUCAAAAUUUACAUCCUCACCAACUUGCUCGGCUGCACGUGUCAAUAUCAAGUGCAUUAAAGCAUCAAUACUAUAAAAAAAGAAUUCAGAUUUUUUUUGGUAUAACUACCUUCACCCGAAAAAAUGUAGUACUCCUCAUCCAUAAUCUCAUCAAGGAUGGUAUCCUCGUCCAUGAAGUUACUCACGAAUGAUUGUAGACAGUAGCUAAUGAAACACCCCUCGAGGCAACAAAAGUGAGUAGGGGUGAGAACCUUACCCUCGGUUCCAAUGGUGAGUGUGGGAGUGUAUGAGGAUGGGUUUUCCGCUCGUGAAGCACCACGUGCCUCAGGGCAUCGCACUGCAAUGGAUUCAUCACAUGGUGUGUCCCGCCUAGCUGCAUAGCUCAUCCUGCGUUUAGCAAGCAGUGCCUGCCUCUCUUCAGGUGUUAUGCUUUGCCUAUGUUUUCUUGUACGUGCAUUCAUCACUUCCCUCUGCUCUGCUGUCAAACUUUGCCUACGUGCUUGUUGGCGUGCAUUCCUUUCUUCAUGUGUUAAACUCUUCCUACGCGCUCUCCUGCGAGCAUUGAUCUCUUCCCUAACCUCAGGCGCUAAACAUUGACGGCGCACUCUCUCACGAUCACGCCUUGCUUGGUUUUGUUCCGGUGUAAGGUUAGCAUAGCGAGUAGAUUCACGGGAACGCUUCCGUCCUACAUAAAUAAUCCCAUAAGAUAUUUCAAUAAACUCAUGCAUGCAGGACAUGUAAAAAUAUGCACUAAGAGCACAUUACCCUUCGAGCUCUCUCCUUGUUCAAAGCCUUUGAUUGAUGUGAGGAUGCUGCGAGUAGGAAAACUUGCAGCUAACUCGUUCUGAACAUCUUCACCAUCAGAGGAUGUUCCACUCGAUGUUCUUGAGUUGGACGGCUCAUGUAUUACCAAUUGUGUUGGAGCGCUCGCUGCAAUAUUACGACGAGACCUCUUUCUAUUGUUAUGUUCCUCCACCACUGUUACAAAUACUGCAAUGUGAGCUAUCAAUGUUUAGGUUUUAUACUAAAGACAAACGUUAAGGGACAGGAUAAUAACCUUCUUUUCCUUUAGUAGACCGUUGGCUUGGACAUUGAGGCAUUUUGCAAAUGAAUCUUCGUCUACGAGAAGUUAU
rnacentral:lncRNA from 1 species